UACAGAGGGGGCAAGCGUUGUUCGGAAUUACUGGGCGUAAAGGGCGCGUAGGCGGCCUGUUAAGUCGAACGUGAAAUCCCUGGGCUCAACCCAGGAACUGCGUCCGAUACUGGCAUGCUCGAGUUCGGGAGAGGAUGGUGGAAUUCCCAGUGUAGAGGUGAAAUUCGUAGAUAUGGGGAGGAACACCGGUGGCGAAGGCGGCCAUCUGGACGGAUACUGACGCUGAGACGCGAAAGCGUGGGUAGCAAACAGG
rnacentral:rRNA from 1 species